GACGAACGCUGGCGGCGUGCUUAACACAUGCAAGUCGAACGGAAAGGCCCUGCUUUUGUGGGGUGCUCGAGUGGCGAACGGGUGAGUAACACGUGAGUAACCUGCCCUUGACUUUGGGAUAACUUCAGGAAACUGGGGCUAAUACCGGAUAGGAGCUCCUGCUGCAUGGUGGGGGUUGGAAAGUUUCGGCGGUUGGGGAUGGACUCGCGGCUUAUCAGCUUGUUGGUGGGGUAGUGGCUUACCAAGGCUUUGACGGGUAGCCGGCCUGAGAGGGUGACCGGCCACAUUGGGACUGAGAUACGGCCCAGACUCCUACGGGAGGCAGCAGGGGGGAAUAUUGCACAAUGGGCGGAAGCCUGAUGCAGCAACGCCGCGUGCGGGAUGACGGCCUUCGGGUUGUAAACCGCUUUCGCCUGUGACGAAGCGUGAGUGACGGUAAUGGGUAGAGAAGCACCGGCUAACUACGUG
rnacentral:rRNA from 1 species